AGGAGUGUAGUUUAUAAAAUAUCAAGUUUGCAUCUUGAAGAUGGCAGUAGCCCGCUCUC
rnacentral:tRNA from 1 species